rnacentral:rRNA from 1 species
GAUGAACGCUGGCGGCGUGCCUAACACAUGCAAGUCGAACGGGAAUCUUCGGAUUCUAGUGGCGGACGGGUGAGUAACGCGUAAGAAUCUAACUUCAGGACGGGGACAACAGUUGGAAACGACUGCUAAUACCCGAUAUGCCGCAAGGUGAAACCUAAUUGGCCUGGAGAAGAGCUUACGUCUGAUUAGCUAGUUGGUGGGGUAAGAGCUUACCAAGGCGACGAUCAGUAGCUGGUCUGAGAGGAUGAGCAGCCACACUGGGACUGAGACACGGCCCAGACUCCUACGGGAGGCAGCAGUGGGGAAUUUUCCGCAAUGGGCGAAAGCCUGACGGAGCAACGCCGCGUGAGGGAGGAAGGUCUUUGGAUUGUAAACCUCUUUUCUCAAGGAAGAAGUUCUGACGGUACUUGAGGAAUCAGCCUCGGCUAACUCCGUGCCAGCAGCCGCGGUAAU